GGAGCGGUAGUUCAGCUGGUUAGAAUGAUGGCCUGUCACGCCGGAGGUCGCGGGUUCGAGUCCCGUCCGCUCCGCCA
rnacentral:tRNA from 1 species